AAUAGCAGGGCAGUGCACACCUCACCGAAGGUGGAUGUUACAGAGUAAACUUUGACCUGUUUACUUUCCCAAUACAAUAGCCAAAGUAUCUAAUUCGACCGUAAAAUCCAACACAUUGGUUGUGUUUGCGUGUGCGUGUUUUGCCGGCGCACAAUUUUUUUUUUUGCGGGGGGUAUUUCUGUUUCAAAGACUGUUUUUUUUUUUUUUUUUUUCAAAAAAUAAAUUGCUUGACAUUGCAAGUUUACCAAACCAAGUUGCCUCUCUUACUGUGAAGCACCACCUCAGUCCCGGUGAUGUGAGGCAUGAUGACACUAAGUAAUGCUGUCAAUCAUUUCCCCCCCAUGGCCCUCACUCACUGUCAGCAAAUACAGACAUGAUCACAUCGCCAUGCUCAAUUGCAAUUUUCACAUCACUGCAGUGUGUUAAAAACAAGCAGAUGUUUUAAAUAUCUAAACUGUCCCUUCUGCUUCCAAAAUCUCUUGCUACCAACAUUUCACCUCAAAUAAACACUAGAAGAUAACUGCAUGCCAGAGUAUAAGUCGUGUGUAGUAGCCCAGAAAUACUAAGAUCUUUCUUUUCUUUAACUAGUCCUGAAGAUGUAAUCUGCUGCUGUGGUUGCUAUGGGUCUUGGAGACGGGGAGUUUGCCGAAGUGUCUAGGUGGUGGGCAGGUGUCUGAUUGGCUAAUUCUUGAUGGCUCGUGAACUCUGCAGACAAUCUUGAAAUUGCUUUCUGAUUGGCCCAUUCUUGGUCAUUUUCGGUAGCGGAUGGAUACGUGAUUGAAUGCAAUUAUCAUAAUUGAGUGAUAUGCUCGACGUUGUGUUUUUUGUAAAAACAUUUGGAUCGAGCGGGUCAGUACACAGCGUUAUGGAAUACCAAGAAGACGCAGGCGCCAUUUCCAUGGAGUUUAGGAUACUUCUCGAAGAGGUGCCAGUUGUGAAACUUUAUUUUGGAGACUGGACACUGAUUAGACUCAUCGGCUCCUUUCUAGCUGGACAGCGCGGUGUAUAG
rnacentral:lncRNA from 1 species